GUGCUUGUUUGGGCAGCACAUAAACUAAAAUUGGAGCAAUACAGAGAAGAUUUGCAUAGUCCCUGCUCUUCAUACUCAGAGUAGACCCAUUGAAAU
ensembl:snRNA U6 U6 spliceosomal RNA